CCGAGAGUGGAGCCUCCGCGCUCGAACU
rnacentral:sRNA from 1 species